AUUGAACUCUGGCGGCAGGCCUAACACAUGCAAGUCGAGCGAGCGGCGGACGGGUGAGUAAUGUCUGGGAAACUGCCUGAUGGAGGGGGAUAACUACUGGAAACGGUAGCUAAUACCGCAUACCAUCAGAUGUGCCCAGAUGGGCUUAGCUAGUAGGGGGGGUAACGGCCAACCAAGGCGACGAGCCCUAGCUGGUCUGAGAGGAUGACCAGCCACACUGGAACGGAGAAACGGUCCAGACUCCGACGGGAGGCAGCAGUGGGGAAUAUUGGACAAUGGGCGCAAGCCUGAUGCAGCCAUGCCGCGUGUGUGAAGAAGGCCUUCGGGUUGUAAAGCACUUUCAGCGGGGAGGCGUUACCCGCAGAAGAAGCACCGGCUAACUCCGUGCCAGCAGCCGCGGUAAUAC
rnacentral:rRNA from 1 species